rnacentral:rRNA from 1 species
CCUACGGGAGGCAGCAGUGAGGAAUAUUGGUCAAUGGACGAGAGUCUGAACCAGCCAAGUAGCGUGAAGGAUGACUGCCCUAUGGGUUGUAAACUUCUUUUAUAAAGGAAUAAAACGAGGCACGUGUGCCUUUUUGAAUGUACUUUAUGAAUAAGGAUCGGCUAACGCCGUGCCAGCAGCCGCGGUAAUACGGAGGAUCCGGGCGUUAUCUGGAUUUAUUGGGUUUAAAGGGAGCGUAGAUGGGUUGUUAAGUCAGUUGUGAAAGUUUGCGGCUCAACCGUAAAAUUGCAAUUGAUACUGGCAGUCUUGAGUACAGUUGAGGUGAGCGGAAUUCGUGGUGUAGCGGUGAAAUGCUUAGAUAUCACGAGGAACCCCGAUUGCGAAGGCAGCUUACUAAACUGUGACUGACAUUGAUGCUCGAAAGUAUGGGUAUCAAACAGGAUUAGAUACCCCUGUAGUC